GGCCGCUCUGUCACGCAAUGUCCCCGCUGUCCCCUCGCUGUCGCUGGCGCUGUUCGAGCGCCUCGGGGACAGCCUGGCGCGCCUCGGGCUCUUCCAGAGGGCGGCGGAGUUCUACCAGAAGCAGCUGGCGGCGGCCGAGGCGCUGGGGCUGCCGGGCCGGGAGCUGGCCGUGAUCCACGUGUCCCUGGGCACCACCUUCCGCGACCUGGGCCAGCAUUCCCGGGCCCUGCAGCACUUCCAGAGGGAGCUGGAGCUCAGGAGAGGAGAGCCGCUGGAGGAGUGCCGCACGUGGCUGAACGUGGCGCUGGCGCUGGAGGAUUUGGGCUCGGCCC